GCCCUGGCGGCGCAGUGGUUAAGCGUUUGGCUGCUAACCGAAAGGCUGGUGGUUCAAACCCACCCAGCGGCU
rfam:Loxodonta africana unplaced genomic scaffold scaffold_28, whole genome shotgun sequence.